GUAUUAAGGCAUGGAUUACUUCUUCUGAAUCCCAGACAAAGCAGCAGGGAGUGUGCUCAGAGCUUUGUGGGUGAUAGUUGAGACACCACAGUUACCAAGUGGACAAGGCAAAACCUCAGUGGCCACGUGUCCUGUGGCCAUAAAGAAAAUAAAUCUCCAAGGACCGAGGAAGAAGGAACUAAAAGUCAAUGAAUUCAUGCUCAUGAAGACAAAUAAGAAUCCCAACUUGGUCAACUAUUUAGACAGCUACCUUGUGGAUGGGCAGCUCUGGCUGGUCAUGGAGUACAUGGACGGAGGCACUCUGAGCAAUGUCAUCAGCGAGAC